CGCAUCGUAGAUCACAUGACCUCCACAGCUGCUUCCGGUUUCGUACGGCGCUGUCUUAAUGGUUUCGACUAUACGUCACUUCUGGUUCCGGUGAAGUGUCAGGCCCCGGAAUCCAGAGAAACCCUUGAGACACCGGGAGAUGAGAUGACAACGUCAACACUGCAGAAAGCCAUUGAUUUGGUAACCAAAGCCACAGAGGAGGAUAAGAACAAGAACUACGAAGAGGCUUUGAGGUUAUACCAGCAUGCGGUGGAGUAUUUUCUGCAUGCCAUCAAGUAUGAAGCUCACAGCGACAAGGCCAAGGAGAGCAUCCGAGCCAAAUGCAUGCAGUACCUGGAUAGAGCUGAGAAGCUUAAGGAUUAUUUAAAAGCAAAGGACAAGCAAGGCAAAAAGCCUGUGAAAGAAUCCCAGAAUGAGAAAGGAUGCGAUAGUGAUGGUGAAGGAGAAAGUCCGGAAAAAAAAAAACUACAGGAACAACUAAUGGGUGCCAUUGUAAUGGAGAAGCCAAAUGUGCGAUGGAAUGAUGUGGCUGGACUAGAAGUAGCUAAAGAAGCUUUAAAAGAGGCUGUCAUUUUGCCUAUCAAGUUUCCCCAUCUCUUUACUGGAAAGCGUACCCCUUGGCGUGGUAUCUUGCUCUUUGGACCACCAGGAACAGGAAAAUCAUACCUGGCCAAAGCUGUAGCAACAGAAGCCAAUAACUCUACAUUCUUCUCUGUGUCAUCCUCUGAUCUGAUGUCCAAGUGGCUUGGAGAGAGUGAGAAGCUGGUGAAAAAUCUAUUUGAGUUGGCGAGGCAACAUAAACCUUCUAUUAUAUUUAUUGAUGAAGUCGACUCUCUCUGUGGCUCUCGGAAUGAAAAUGAAAGUGAAGCUGCUCGGAGAAUCAAGACAGAAUUCCUUGUGCAGAUGCAAGGUGUUGGGAAUAACAGUGAUGGUAUCCUGGUCCUGGGAGCCACAAACAUACCUUGGGUGCUGGACUCUGCCAUCAGGAGGAGGUUUGAGAAGCGGAUAUACAUCCCUCUGCCUGAAGAGGCUGCUCGAGCACAGAUGUUUCGGUUGCACUUGGGUAAUACAGCUCACAGCCUGAGUAAGGCAAACAUCCGUGAGCUGGCCAACAAAACUGAAGGAUACUCAGGAGCUGAUAUUAGUAUUAUCGUCAGAGAUGCGCUAAUGCAGCCCGUGCGCAAGGUGCAAUCAGCCACACACUUCAAGAAGGUACGAGGUCCAUCUCGCACCAACCCUGGAGUCAUAAUAGAUGACCUUCUGUCGCCCUGUUCUCCUGGAGAUCCAGGUGCAAUUGAGAUGACUUGGAUGGAAGUAGCCAGUGAUAAGCUGCUGGAGCCUGUAGUGUGCAUGAUUUUUGGGUAAAAUGACUGACGUCAUUACAAAGUAGAAUUGGUGGCGAAAAAGUAAACAAUCAUAUGGAUUUUUAGGUGAAAGAUUGAAAGAGUUAUGAUUUUUUAAAGUCUGAUAUGCUGAGAUCUCUGGCCACCACGCGGCCUACCGUCAACUCGGAGGAUCUUCUAAAAGUGAAGAAAUUUACAGAAGACUUUGGGCAGGAGGGAUAAGGUGCACUACAAGGGGUGGGUGCAUCGGGUGUGCUUUAUGUUCUAAGUGCCCCCCAUCAAUAACAUCACAGGAAAUUGCAGGCUCUGGCCACUUUCUUCAAUAUCUUGGACUCCUACCCUCCCUUUGGGCCCUGCACGGCCUGGGAGGCACCACCUACCUACAGAGGUUUACAUUCAUCAGUCACCAGACCUUCAAUGUGAUGGCCUUCCCUGUACCCUCUCCCCUCUAACAAACUGCUGGGGCCUCCAACCUUCCCUCAUUGCCUGACUUACAAUUACAACUGACUUCUAAUUGACUGUAAUGUCCCUUUCCUUUCAGUCCCCCCUUGGCAGCAUUGGCAGGUUUGUUUCAAUAUACUGUCGCUGCCAGACCCUCUUACUCCCACUGUCCAUAUCUUUUCCCCUAUUUCCCUGCCAGUACCUGAUGUGUGCAUUACUGGGGAUGAGUGAGUGUUCAGCUAUGUAAAUAUAUCUUCUUUUCUCUCUCUUUCAAAUCACGUUCUAUGUCUGAUGCUCAUUCUUAAAUAAAGCUGCUCCUGAACUGCUAUCUGUGCCAACAGCAGAGGGGCAACCAUUCAAACUC